GAUGACCACAAGGGGAGCCUCCGGGCUGAGAGUGAACGACCGUUCUGACCCUUCGAACCUGUUAGUUAAUGCUGGCGUAGGAAUGUGGCAAAGUCAUUUC
rfam:Bacillus licheniformis ATCC 14580, complete genome.